UCCGCCACCAAGUCGCCGUUCAGGGUCUGCACGCGCUGGACGUCGUCAUCCGGCUCCCCUGAGGCCGACGACGCCGAUCCCAGGUGCCUAUCAGAGUUCGUCCUCGGCGAUGACGCUUCACCCGCUGCAGCGGAGGUAUACACGGCCAUUCCCGCUGCGCCCACCAAAACCUACCUUUGACCUCCUCGCCAAUUGCGGCCUUGAUGUGGAGGCCGACCCAUCUUCUGCCUCCUCUCCCACAAAGGUCACCCAGCAGCGGCGCUCCUCUUCGUCAGAGUGGACCAGCGCCGGUGGACAUCGCCACCGUCCACCGUGUCCAGCCAGUCGGCGGCCGUUUCUCUUGAAGUCCGCUCGCGCCCAUCCUCCAGCGUGUACCACCAACCGGCGGUGCGGCGCACGGACCUGCUGCUGCUGAGGCAUGUACGCCGCCGCAGCAGCGGCAAACACGACUUCGCAGAGGUUGGCUUGCAGGAGGAGCGGCCCGGCAAGGUUGGUUCAACACGUGAUGGUGAUGCACGGCCGCCUACAUCUCUCUCCGGCAGGUAUUGGGAAAUACAGCGAAACUUAUAUGAGCUGGAUUUCAAUGUUUUUGCCAUGAGGGAAACACAAUAGAGGUAUGUGUGCCAGCCAAUCGCACAGGUCAGUUCAAAGAACUCCUGAAGAAAGGCUAUGUGUGCCAGUCAAUCGUACAUGCCAGUUCCACAUGUGUGGAAAGAAGACACACUACGAAUUAUUUCAGUAUUUUAGAUUGAUUUUUUUCUUGGCCUGAUGAGCAAUAAGCCGUGUACAUGGAUUUUGAUUAUUUUUUCCAUUCAGCUUUGCUUUGGUAGCCUCAUGUUGUUAAUUUUUGGGUGCUGCUGAUUGGAUUUCUCAGAAUUUUAAUAUUUAGUUUUUUUUUUUUAUCUCAGCUAUGUAAAGUAUCUUGGAUGUUCUGUGCAAAUUAGUUACUGUAUUUUGGACCCUGCUGUGCCAAAGUGAGCUCUUUGUUUUUCGAUUUUAUAAAAAAAAAAUCCUGCUUAGCCUCGUGUUGUUAACUUUUGGGUGCUGCUGAUUGUAUUUCUCUGAAUUUAAUAUUUAGGUUUUUUUUAUCUCAGCUAUAUAAAGUAUCUUGGAUGUUCAGUGCCAUGCCAAUGAUUGUGAUACAUCUAUGUUGUGUAGCCAGCUAAUUAAUAAUGCUUGAUGUUAUUUCAUUUAUAGGAUACAUCUCGCACGGGUGAGAUCAAAAGGUCUAGGUCAUUGUUUGGCAAUGUAUCUGUGGCUUACGCUGAAAACUUUCUCUCAUAAUGAUGGUCUUAUCAUUGGUUUAUGUUGGAAGCUAGCGUGUUCUUUGAUAACUUCUUCUACGAUGGUGACUGUUGGCUGAAGUUAUUCCAGUGCGACAACUGGGCUAUACUUCAAGUGUAUCUCUGCUGUAAUCAUUAGCAUCAGACCCGUGCUAUGUACCAACAUCAUAUUAUUUCCAGGGAUGGUUGCAGAUGUACUGGCAGGUGUAACUUCACCAUUCCGGGAAGAAUUGCUGGGUUGUCUCCGCUCCUGAGACCCAGCACUUUCGAGCGAGAAGAAGCUCAUCUGUUCCCGUCACUUGCUGAAAAUCCAACAUAAAACUAUUUGUUCUUCACUGCCACAGUGACACUCAUGCCAUGCUAUUAUUUUGGCUGUCACACGUUUCUUUGGUUUGUUUAAAUGCUGAUGUCAGAAUCAUUACCAAUGCUGCGAUAUCUGGCUGAAGGACUAUCAAAGAAGUUUCUUUAGUUGUGGUCACCAGAUUUGAAGAAGAAGCAGAGUAGUUCUCCACGGUGUCUUGGUCGAUAUACUGAAUCUUGUGCUGCAACACUAAACCUGAAGCAGAAACAGGGUAGUUUUUGACGGUUUCUUGGCAGAUACACUAUUCUUAGAAACCUGGGACAUUCAGUUGAGGUGAAGAUGGGAAUGGGAAAUGUAUAUUUGCUAAUGAAAACCUGUAUUGAGUCCUACGUAGGGCAUUCAGUUGAGGUGAAGAUGGGAAUGGGAAAUGUAUAUUUGCUAAUGAAAACCUGUAGUGAGUCCUACGUAGGAUUGCUGCCACCAAGAUAAUACAUUCUAGCAUGUAUAUAGCUUACAAGAGAGAGGUUUAUCAUCUUAACUAAGGAGUAAUGUCAUGUGGAGUAAUAAACUAAUGUAGGUGUAUUAUUUCUAAUCUCCUGGCGUGUUUCUUUGCUGAUUAUGUUUGUUUUUACUUUUUUCUCUAGGUCCCUACAUGGAUUCUUCGGAUGAGGACUCUACUGCUGUUUGGUCAUCACUGGAUCAUUGAUGGUGAUGAUUUUUAUCUGCUUGGUCUCAUAUGGACAAUGGGUUUUGGUCACGUUUGCCUGUUCAUAAUUCUUGGACUCCUUUGUCACCUAUUUAUUUUUCGGUUUGAAUCUUAUUGUUCGCCUUCUUUUAAACAUCAGCUGGUUCAUCUACUUCUGUCCAUGUUAGUUCUAAUUAUGGACAUGCUUAUGAGGCUAGAGCAUCUUCGUCUAUGCCUGCUUCUGCCCAGUUUUUUUACUAUGAAAUUUACUCAUGCUUUAUUGAGAUGUGA